GGGGAUUUAGCUCAGUGGUAGAGCGCUUGCCUAGCAAGCGCAAGGCCCUGGGUUCAGACCCCAGCUCCG
rnacentral:tRNA from 1 species